rnacentral:lncRNA from 1 species
GGCCAUGCAGGCUUCUCCCUCAAGCAUGGUCAGCAUGCAGGGGUGGGAAGCAAACAGGGCGAUGCUCUGAGGUGGCUGUUACCAGAGGAAAACAGUAAGAACGUUGGGUAAUAGCUGCAUCUUGUUUGGAUUAGAGCUAUGUUCCCUUUUGAAUCCUGAGGUUAAAACUGGAGGUAUUGAAGACCUCAGGCUGCCAUUUAUACAUGGACAGGAGCUCUUUGGUUAACUCCUUCCCUCUGACUUUUUAAGGUUUUAUCAUAUUUAAAAGAAAUUCCAUUGAAAUGUUUUAGUUGUGAAUUGUUGAGCUAAAUUAAUUCUUAACUAAAACCAGAAUUUCCCUUUUAAUUUUAACUGGAACAAAAUCCUUACUCUCCUGUUGCAAUUGCUCUGGAUAAUUAUGUGAAGUCAUGGCAGUAUGAGUGGAUACCCAGACAGUUACUUCCCAGAGGGAGGUGGUUGUGUUUUAAGCAAAGCCUAUUGUAACUUCAGAGUCCAGGUGGGGCACACAGUGUUGGGUGAGUUCACAUUUGGAUGGGAUUUAUAUCUCCGUUUACUGUCUACCGAAGUCACCGUUUCACAGGGGCGUGGUUCCUCACUUCUUGCUGUUGAUAGAUCUGUGCUGUUUGCUUUAUUAACUCACAAAUUCACUGUUGAGCAUUUUCAGUUGAAUUUAUUUUGUGAAAUAAUUCAAGUAGCGUGUUGACUAGAUGUACUGGUUUGGUUGUGAGGUGGGGAUGUGGUUGACCUCUGUCUUAUUUGGCUGUGAACAAUCUCCAUGGGAGCAUUCAUGCUCUUUGUAAGCACUUGGGCGUGCUGAUACCAACUCACAGUUAAGUUUUGUUGUUGCUCCUUUUUUUUUUUUUUCAUUUCAAUUUUAGACCAUGAGAAUUUGCACCAAGGCUCCCCUGGUUUGAGUGGAGCUGCCUGGAUCAAACGCUGCCUGCUCUGCCCUGGCUGUUUUCUGUGGUUUGGUGUUCCUGGGAUAAUUGGUUUCUCUGUGACACACUGGGACUGGGCUCCGGUUCGGUGCCUUUUCCACCAGGCAAAGGUCUUUUUUAAGAGAUUAAAUUUCUAUAUGCGCUGGACUAUGUGUUUGCCAGUCUGACAUCAUUUUUUAGGAGUUCCAACAUCGCCACCAAAAUGCACGAAGAGGCCAAUUU